CAGCCGCCGCGGGAAUACGUAGGUGGCAAGCGUUGUCCGGAAUUAUUGGGCGUAAAGGGCUCGCAGGCGGUUUCUUAAGUCUGAUGUGAAAGCCCCCGGCUCAACCGGGGAGGGUCAUUGGAAACUGGGAAACUUGAGUGCAGAAGAGGAGAGUGGAAUUCCACGUGUAGCGGUGAAAUGCGUAUAGAUGUGGAGGAACACCAGUGGCGAAGGCGACUCUCUAGUCUGUAACUGACGCUGAGGAGCGAAAGCGUGGGGAGCGAACAGGAUUAGAUACCCCCGUAGUCCCUGUCUCUUAUAC
rnacentral:rRNA from 1 species